rnacentral:rRNA from 1 species
UACGGGGGGGGCAAGCGUUGUUCGGAAUUACUGGGCGUAAAGGGCUCGUAGGUGGCCAACUAAGUCGGACGUGAAAUCCCUCGGCUUAACCGGGGAACUGCGUCUGAUACUGGAUGGCUUGAGUUCGGGAGAGGGAUGCGGAAUUCCAGGUGUAGCGGUGAAAUGCGUAGAUAUCGGAAGGAACACCAGUGGCGAAAGCGGCUUCCUGGUCCAGCACCGACGUUCAGGCACGAAAGCGUGGGGAGCAAACAGG